UCAUCUGUGGGGUCGCACACACACACACGCACGCAGAGCAAAAAAGAAAGAAUGAAAGGAGGCAAAUGAAAAAGGACUCAAGGAUUCUCGUCUUGAGGGCAGCAACAACAAAUGGCCGAAAGAGAAAACCUUAAGGUCAAGUCACUUUGAAUGAGAAUCAGGAGGCUGCCAGUGACGGACGAGAAAACCUUAUUGACCAGCGAGGUGUUCAGCUCCAGGAGGCCCAGUGGCAUAAGUUUAUAGUCGAUGGUGGCGACCUGUAGCCAGAAGGCAUUCACCACUUGCUUGAAACGGGCAUCGGCGUGCUGCAGUUCGAAUCUCUGCAAGAGUUCUCCAGUUCUCCUGGUCUGCAAUUAUAAGAGCUUAGUAUUUUAUCAGAGAUUAAACAAAAUGAUGACAAUCAC